rnacentral:rRNA from 1 species
CACGUGGGCAAUCUGCCCUGCACUCUGGGACAAGCCCUGGAAACGGGGUCUAAUACCGGAUAUGACCGUCCAUCGCAUGGNGGAUGGUGUAAAGCUCCGGCGGUGCAGGAUGAGCCCGCGGCCUAUCAGCUAGUUGGUGAGGUAGUGGCUCACCAAGGCGACNACGGGUAGCCGGCCUGAGAGGGCGACCGGCCACACUGGGACUGAGACACGGCCCANACUCCUACGGGAGGCAGCAGUGGGGAAUAUUGCACAAUGGGCGAAAGCCUGAUGCAGCGACGCCGCGUGAGGGAUGACGGCCUUCGGGUUGUAAACCUCUUUCAGCAGGGAANAAGCGAAAGUGACGGUACCUGCAGAAGAAGCGCCGGCUAACUACGUGCCAGCAGCCGCGGUAAUACGUAGGGCGCAAGCGUUGUCCGGAAUUAUUGGGCGUAAAGAGCUCGUAGGCGGCUUGUCACGUCGGUUGUGAAAGCCCGGGGCUUAACCCCGGGUCUGCAGUCGAUACGGGCAGGCUAGAGUUCGGUAG